UCAGUUAGGACAGACAAGUAACUCAGUAAAGUCUACCUGUAUACUUUGGAAAGGUCAAAUCCCUGGCUCCCGUCCCCCUCUAGGUGGGUUACAGAUGACCUUUUUAUUUACCUUUUGACAUAU